GACGGAGGAUGCAAGUGUUAUCCGGAAUCACUGGGCGUAAAGCGUCUGUAGGUGGUCAAAUAAGUCAACUGUUAAAUCUUGAGGCUUAACCUCAAAAUCGCAGUCGAAACUAUUAGACUAGAGUAUAGUAGGGGUAAAGGGAAUUUCCAGUGGAGCGGUGAAAUGCGUAGAGAUUGGAAAGAACACCGAUGGCGAAGGCGGCUACCUGGACCGGUACUGACGCUGAGGCGCGAAAGCCAGGGGAGCGAAUGGG
rnacentral:rRNA from 1 species